GAUCAUGGCUCAGGAUGAACGCUGGCGGCGUGCUUAACACAUGCAAGUCGAACGGAGUGCUAGUGACAGAGGAUUCGUCCAAUGGAUCUAGUUACUUAGUGGCGGACGGGUGAGUAACGCGUGAGUAACCUGCCUUGGAGUGGGGAAUAACACAGAGAAAUUUGUGCUAAUACCGCAUGACGCGGUUGUACCGCAUGGUACUGACCGCCAAAGAUUUAUCG
rnacentral:rRNA from 1 species